rnacentral:rRNA from 1 species
UACAGAGGUCUCAAGCGUUGUUCGGAUUCAUUGGGCGUAAAGGGUGUGUAGGUGGCGCCGUAAGUCGGGUGUGAAAUUUCGGAGCUUAACUCCGAAACUGCAUUCGAUACUGCGGUGCUUGAGGACUGGAGAGGAGACUGGAAUUCAUGGUGUAGCAGUGAAAUGCGUAGAGAUCAUGAGGAAGACCAGUGGCGAAGGCGGGUCUCUGGACAGUUCCUGACACUGAGACACGAAGGCCAGGGAGCAAACGGG